UAUGGACAUUAGAUUUGAGAAGCUUAUAUAGCACAUGGGCGAGGAUAAAGGGAUACAAAUCAGAGAGAAAAACCUGAAGAGAUUAAAAAAAAAAAAAAAAUCCAGGGCCAAGUAUUUACUGUUCAUUCCCCUUGUGAGUGGUGUUACAUAUUGUCUGCAGUGAGUCAUGCUGAGAGCGAGCCAGGCACAAUAAUAGUGGAGAGCAGUCCUGCAGCCCCUUCGUUAUUGCCUGCACUGGUUCAGACUGAGUUGGGCGAGAGAAAGGGAUUCCAAAAAAUGUUCCUUUUCUUCCUUUUCUCCUGUUUCCCAGAGAGCCUGGUGGUGAUUGCUGGGGAUGCGCUGCCAUGAAAGAACCGCCAAACUAAAAUCAAACGUAUUUUUACAUGGAAAGAUGCUGACACAUUACAUGACAAAAUGUAAUCAACUGCGAAGAGUUGUUUAUUGCCCAGAUGAUGAGCGUGAUGUCACUGCGGAGCAGGAGACCCCACAUGAACCAUCAUGUCAGCUUCACUGGGAAACACUGCAAACGUGAACUGCCCCUUGAACACUUCAGGAGAUAUGAGAAGAGGACAUUUGGAUAUCCUCCUGAGCCCUCUCCCCAAACAACUGUAGUUUAGAUUUAAGACAACCAAUUGAUCAAAGGAAAGAAGAGGGUUUUGGAUGAGCCCUUACAAGUCCCUAAAUAUGAGGAAGUGUGCUAUACACUCACCUUCUGUAAUAACAUGGAGCUUUGAACACCUCAAUGUAUUUCUGCAGUAUUACUCAGCUUGGUUUCCUGUGCCAGCACUGCAGAAAUAAACAAGUGUGAGAAUACCUGGUUUUGGGGAGGGGAGGCUUGUGACAAGUGCCCGUUCUGUGGGAAACAGCAGUGCCACGUGGGCUGGAGCACACACCGACUUCACAAGGGAAAGAAAGGAGCCAGAGCCUGGAAAUGACAUGAGCCUCUUACCAGAGAACGGAUGACAAAUCAGAGCUAAAGCCAGCUUUACCUCCUGCCAUCAGGACUCUCAGCUGCUACUUAUUAGUGCAGUGUUUGUUACUGCGCAUAAAUCAAAAUCCAACCUCUGUGACACAGCACAUCAUUUGUUCACUUGUUUUCCUCUCAUCCCACCUGCCUGAUAUGACUGUAUCAGGAAUAAAGGAACUUUAUGGAGAGAAAUCUGCAGUGCCCUUCAAAACACCGCGCUCGGUGAAUUCCUGCAUCUGUAAAUCUGGCUGCUGUGCUCUCCUCUCACCAAAAUAUUUUGACUGCAGGAAUCUGUCUGGUACAAGAAUGUGCCAGUAACAAACAAGGAGCACAUUUACGUUUGCUGGGCUCGCUGAACAUCACUUUGGGUGCCCUGUUCUGAACAAACACCCACUUCUCAGAAGCCCUGCUGGCUCAGGCCCAGCGGCGUGGGCUCGGCGUCAUGGUGGUAAGGCCACAGAAAUGUUGCUGCACACAAGGCAUGAAGGAGGCCCACCACCAAGAUGGGACCUUACACUGAAGCAACGUUCAGGGGUUAUCCCACAGAAAAUGGCACCUCUGGUUGGAAAGUGCUCAUUAUUGGCAGCAUCAAGCUCCUGCUUGGUUGUAUGCUGCAGCCUUAACCUGGUGAGCAGCCUGCCCGGCUCAGAGAGGGCCCUGAUGGAGAACUGCCCCUCCUGUCCAACCGCUCCCCACCACACCUGCAAAAAAUGUUCACUGAUGUUUUUUGGAAUGUUGUAGAAAAUCUCCCUGUGAAUGCAGGCCCUCUUUACCUCAGCCACAACACCAGGUUUGCACAGACCCACAGGGCAGAACAGCCACAGGGUUUUGGUUGCUCUGACAGCUCAGGCUCCUCGUGCUCCUCAUGCCUGACUUGCCCCUAAAGUGCACCUUGUACCUUCAAAACACAUACAGUGCAACGGGAAGCUUCUGCAGGUGCAAGCUGGCAUCAAGUCACUUGAGCCUAUAUCAUGCUCUGGCAGACCCCCCAGUAAGCUUUCCCCCGUUCCAUUGAAAAACUGAAUGUGACCAGGGUUCCACCAGCUCAACAAGUGCUUGAAGAUACUUUGCUGCAUCCCAGCAGCUCACAUGCAACAUCCAUAUAUUUGAACACCUUAACUUAUAUUUACUGUAUUGCCUCAGAUCCAUAAUGCACCCUUAAAAUGCAUCCAUGCCGAGCUGCUGCUGUAGCAAGCACUUGUGUUAGUGUGAAUACCCGAAACCUGAAUUGGACAUCAUGGCAUCUAUAAAACACAGUAUCAAAGUCACACUUGCCCCAGACCCUGAUCUUUUAUUAAUUUCUUCCAUACAGAGAAGAAAAAAAAUUACAACCAAGUUCCUUUAAAGAUGUCUCUGGAGUCUGAGUUAGAGAAAAGGCCUUAGGUGGGCUUUUUUUUCUUUUUUUAACUUGGACAUUUACUACAAAGAUAAGCAGAAAAGGUGCUGUUUAAUCUCUCUUCUCAUGUGAUCCUCAGUCUCUACCUGGUUUAUUCUCCCCCAUGCAGUCUCCUUUGUUCUCUGGUAGCAGUCUUCUAAACAAGUGAUUAGCAGAGGGGGGAUCAGCCUGCGAUGCUCCUAGCUGUGGGAUACAAUGCAGGUAAAAAAUGAAAUCCACACGUUCUUGUUCUGACAUGUCCCACAGUACUGCAUUGUCCCAACAGAAAAUUCAGCGUUGUAGCUGCUCACAUGCUUUUUCCUUUGGAGGGAGCGCUGUCCCUCAGCACUUCUACAAAUCUCCCAGACCUCCCUACACCUUUUUCCAGUUAAAUUACUUUCCUUAACUUAAUUUGGGCUGUCUAAUUAGAGUUGGUUGGAAGUUUUCCCCAACAAAGCAAGAUUAUUCAACAGCUUUGGUAAACCAUGAUUUGUCAGGAGAUAAACACUUAUCUUCCAGUUAAUUCCCUCCACCUGUGGGUGCCAGGAGCUGAAAUUUGCCAGCUCUGUGACAGGUUUCCAGCUGACCUCAGGGAUCCUUGUCCCUUCACUGUACAGCUGGGAGCCAACAUGAUUUACCAGCAUAUGCAGCAAUGGAAAAUCAAUAGGUUUAUUUUGGUUUCAGACACCACAGACUUACUGUUGGACAUGAAACUGGCCAAAUAGUUAUCCCCAAAUGUAUCAAUAUUUCAUCGCUUGAACAUAUUUCAAGUCCACAAAUUCAUGGUUUUGCUGUUAGUUCAUAAUGAAGUAUUUCUAAAAAACAUUGGCUUCAUGAAGGAAUGAAUUACUGAUCAGCAUUAGCAAUGUAACCUAUCAAAAGGGGACACAAGCUUCACCAGCUGUCAGAGACACUAAGUAAAUUCACCCUACAAAUAGGAUGUAUUCUUCCUAAAGAAAAUAAUGACUUAAUAGACCAUCACGACUUGGGCAGGAAAGGUGUGUUUUUAUCAAGUUUAAAAUCAAUUAGAAUUCUAGCAGUCUUGAAGUAAAUGAUUAUUUCUUUUCUUUUUUUUCUUUUUUUCUCAUUGAUUUCAGUAGUUUGACGACUUUAUCUCAUAUGCUAUACUAAAACAGAUGCUUCAGCUUGAAAACAAAAUGGAGCUUGAGGCUAGAUUCCACUCUGUGAAUGUCAGUGGUGUAUGCAAGGGAGAAGUCACAGUUGAUAGCCUUUUAAUUUGUUAAUUAUAUAAGAGGUUGCAAUGGCUAUGGUUUACCUAUGAUAGAAUUUACAUUUUGUUCUGUUUUAACACAUUUGCAGAUGGUCUUGUAGCAUUGGCUUAUAGUCUUCUUUUUUACCUGUAUGAGAUAACAAAUUUGUUGUCUACUGUGAAUAUAAAUCUUACUGAGGGAAAAGAAAUGUCAAUGUCUGAGCACCACUGCUCAGAAAAAAAGAAGUGAAGCUCUCUGCUAUGGCCAGUAUUGUAUUGUUUGUAAUAGAUUUAUCUCAACAUGUUCACAGUGGAAAGACUGAAAUUUGAAUUCCCCAUAGCGUGAAGGUCUCAUUUGCAGUCUUCAGAAAAUCAGCAGUUCUUUGGCUUAACUGUUACUUAAUAAAAUUGCACUUGCCUUCUGUUAAUCAUUCCUCUAAUAAACCUUCCAUUGCAAACAUACUGCAGUAGGAUGUAUCUGCUUGAAUAAAG
ensembl:lncRNA